rnacentral:misc_RNA from 1 species
CUUCUCUUUCUCUAGCGGCGGCCCGGACUCCGGAGGAGAGGCUGAGAGCAGACGACAGAGUUCCUGCCACUGACGGGCUGAGACUGACCGCAGUAAUAAAACCAGGAAAAAAGGUAAAUUUCUGCAAUGAUGGGAAAGCUAAACCCCGGGGGGCAAAAGGGGAGGAAUAUACACAGGCGCACAGUCCCCGGCAUGCAUGGCUUGCUGCCUGCGUCGUCCGGGUAUUUUUUUUAGCGUGGAUCUCGAAAAAAUUACUGCUUUUGCUAAAGCGCAGCAGCAGCGAACCACAGCGGGGGCAGG